rnacentral:rRNA from 1 species
AUUGAACGCUGGCGGCAGGCCUAACACAUGCAAGUCGAGCGGAUGAAGGGAGCUUGCUCCUGAUUCAGCGGCGGACGGGUGAGUAAUGCCUAGGAAUCUGCCUGGUAGUGGGGGAUAACGUCCGGAAACGGGCGCUAAUACCGCAUACGUCCUGAGGGAGAAAGUGGGGGAUCUUCGGACCUCACGCUAUCAGAUGAGCCUAGGUCGGAUUAGCUAGUUGGUGGGGUAAAGGCCUACCAAGGCGACGAUCCGUAACUGGUCUGAGAGGAUGAUCAGUCACACUGGAACUGAGACACGGUCCAGACUCCUACGGGAGGCAGCAGUGGGGAAUAUUGGACAAUGGGCGAAAGCCUGAUCCAGCCAUGCCGCGUGUGAAGAAGGUCUUCGGAUUGUAAAGCACUUUAAGUUGGGAGGAAGGGCAGUAAGUUAAUACCUUGCUGUUUUGACGUUACCAACAGAAUAGGCACCGGCUAACUUCGUG